GGAUCACGGUUCUUUGCUGAUGAUCACUCACACUAUGAUCUGUUUGGUAAAAGAAGGCCAGGUGACGAAGAGUUCAGGAAAGCUUGGCAGGAGAAUGUUGACGAGGAGGACUGCCUAUGGACUGCCAGUGAGGACGAGGAUGAAGAGAAGGAGAAUGAUACAAAAAUGGAGAGGGAAAUCAAAAAAGUGAAGAAGCAAGCCAAGGAGAAUGCAAACCUCAUUGAUGGUGAUGACAGUGAUGAGUUAAGAAGCAUAUGUCCUGAGAGCGAUGAAGACGAUAUGACUCUCUGGAGUGGCAGUGAAGAGGACGAUGACAAUGAUAUCCCUACCGAGCCACAUCCCAAUGAACGCAGUGAUUCAUAUAUAGAUAAGGUGUUUGAAUUUGAUGAGACGCCUAAAUAUCGCACAAUCUCUGAGCUGUUAAAAGCCGAGAAGGAACCACCAGAGCUCUCUCCAGGAAAGCAAGCAAGAAAACUUGCUGUCGAAAAUGCUCUCAAGAAAUUGAAAAAAGGACCUGAUGGACGCUACAUUAACGUAUUUGAUGUUGUCACUGAUAUAGAUAUCCUGAUUGGAGCAUUUGAGAACAUUGUUUCAGGACCAGAGUAUGCAGAGCUGCGGGAGGGUGGACCAAAGAAGCUCAAUAUCCAGUUCUUCAAGGAUAUACAAGCACGCAUGAGAGAUCCAAAUUUCAAUUUUUCUCCAGAGUUAAAGUUGAAGCCUAAGAGUAAAUUAGUGCCUAAGAAGAAAUGGCAGAAAGCACAAUCGAGGAAGAGGAAAAAUGACAAACGUUGA
rnacentral:rRNA from 1 species